CCUGACGGUAGUCGUAUGCUCGUCUCCGAGACUAAGCCAUGCAAGUCCAAGUACACGUCCUUGAACGACGGAAACUGCGAACGGCUCAUUAAUCAGUUGCGAUCUACUCGGCGUUCCGCGCCGCCGGAUAACCGUAGUAAUUCUAGGGCUAAUACGUGCGAAGCGCCGAAGCCGCGAGGCGACGGCGUUCUCGCCGGAUGUAGGAACCGACCCGGGGACCGCCGGGGCAACCCGGCGCCCCCGAGACGGGGCGAACCACGGUGAAAUGACGGAUCGUCGGCCCCGCGCCGGCGACUCGCCGAAUGAGUUUCUGACCUAUCAACUCGAGACGGCGGGGUAGAGGCCCGCCGCGGUAACGACGGGUAACGGGGAAUCAGGGUUCGAUUCCGGAGAGGGAGCCCGAGAAACGGCUACCACUUCCAAGGAAGGCAGCAGGCGC
rnacentral:rRNA from 1 species